UACUUUGCUCUUUGGGAUGCUCCUGGG
rnacentral:piRNA from 1 species